rnacentral:rRNA from 1 species
GGAGGCAGCAGUGAGGAAUAUUGGUCAAUGGCCGAGAGGCUGAACCAGCCAAGUCGCGUGAGGGAUGAAGGUUUAUGGAUCGUAAACCUCUUUUAUAAGGGAAUAAGUGCGGGACGUGUCCCGUUUUGUAUGUACCUUAUGAAUAAGGAUCGGCUAACUCCGUGCCAGCAGCCGCGGUAAUACGGAGGAUCCGAGCGUUAUCCGGAUUUAUUGGGUUUAAAGGGUGCGUAGGCGGCCUUUUAAGUCAGCGGUGAAAGUCUGUGGCUCAACCAUAGAAUUGCCGUUGAAACUGGGGGGCUUGAGUAUGUUUGAGG